CCGACGGUGAGGGGCGAAAGCUGGGGGAGCAAACCGGAUUAGAUACCCGGGUAGUCCCAGCCGUAAACGAUGUGCGUUAGGUGUAUCAGUGACCACGAGUCACCGAGGUGCCGAAGAGAAAUCGUGAAACGUACCGCCUGGGAAGUACGGUCGCAAGGCUGAAACUUAAAGGAAUUGGCGGGGGAGCACCACAACAGGUGGAGCCUGCGGUUUAAUCGGACUCAACGCCGGGAAACUCACCAGAUAAGACAGCUGAAUGAUAGUCGGGCUGAAGACUCUACUUGACUAGCUGAGAGGAGGUGCAUGGCCGUCGUCAGUUCGUACUGUGAAGCAUCCUGUUAAGUCAGGCAACGAGCGAGACCCACGCCAACAGUUGCU
rnacentral:rRNA from 1 species